rnacentral:rRNA from 1 species
UACAGAGGGUGCAAGCGUUGUUCGGAAUCAUUGGGCGUAAAGCGCGUGUAGGCGGCCUUCUAAGUCUGGUGUGAAAGCCCAGGGCUCAACCCUGGAAGUGCACUGGAUACUGGAAGGCUAGAGGAUAAGAGGGGAGAUUGGAAUUCAUGGUGUAGGGGUGAAAUCCGUAGAUAUCAUGAGGAACAUCAGUGGCGAAGGCGAAUCUCUGGCUUAUUUCUGACGCUGAGACGCGAAAGCGUGGGGAGCAAACAGG